ACCCGCACAAGCGGUGGAUGAUGUGGAUUAAUUCGAUGCAACGCGAAGAACCUUACCUACCCUUGACAUGUCCGGAACUUGCCAGAGAUGGCUUGGUGCCCGAAAGGGAAUCGGAACACAGGUGCUGCAUGGCUGUCGUCAGCUCGUGUCGUGAGAUGUUGGGUUAAGUCCCGCAACGAGCGCAACCCUUAUCAUUAGUUGCUACGCAAGGGCACUCUAAUGAGACUGCCGGUGACAAACCGGAGGAAGGUGGGGAUGACGUCAAGUCAGCACGGCCCUUACGUCCAGGGCUACACACGUGUUACAAUGGUCGGUACAGAGGGCAGCUACCUGGUGACAGGAUGCUAAUCUCGAAAACCGGUCUCAGUUCGGAUCGAAGUCUGCAACUCGACUUCGUGAAGCUGGAUUCGCUAGUAAUCGCGCAUCAGCUAUGGCGCGGUGAAUACGUUCCCGGGCCUU
rnacentral:rRNA from 1 species